GGCCCUUUGGCGCAAUUGGCAGUCGCGUCGGCUUCCAGCUCCUUCCGGCUCACUGAGCCUCUGGCAUUCCGAAGGUUGUCCGUUCGAGUCGGGCAGGGGUCA
rnacentral:tRNA from 1 species